ACAAACUUGGUCAUUUAGAGGAAGUAAAAGUCGUAACAAGGUUUCCGUAGGUGAACCUGCGGAAGGAUCAUUACCGAGUUAGGGUUUCCUCCAAGGAGCCCGACCUCCCAACCCUUUGCUUAACCUUACCUUGUGUUGCUUCGGCGGGCCCGUCUCUACGACCGCCGGGGGACCGUCAAACGUCCUCUGGCCCGUUGCCCGCCGGUGGCCAAUACCUAUAAACUCUGAACUAAGCGUGUCUUUGUCUGAGUAACAUGACCUAAAAUCAUAAACAAAACUUUCAACAACGGAUCUCUUGGUUCUGGCAUCGAUGAAGAACGCAGC
rnacentral:misc_RNA from 1 species